CCCUUAGAUGUCCUGGGCCGCACGCGCGUUACACUGAUGCAUUCAACGAGCUUAUAACCUUGGCCGAGAGGCCUGGGCAAUCUUGUUAACGUGCAUCGUGAUGGGGAUAGAUUAUUGAAAUUAUUAAUCUUGAACGAGGAAUUCCUAGUAAACGCAGAUCAUCAAUCUGCAUUGAUUACGUCCCUGCCCUUUGUACACACCGCCCGUCGCACCUACCGAUUGGAUGGUCCGGUGCAGCCUCGGGAUUGUGGUUCUUGCCGCUUUAUUGUGGCGUGACCGCGAGAACUUGUCUAAACCUUAUCAUCUAGAGGAAGGUGAAGUCGUAACA
rnacentral:rRNA from 1 species